rnacentral:lncRNA from 1 species
AUGCCAAACCCGGCAAUUGCCUCGCGCUGUCGCAGAGGGGGGGCGGGGGGGUUGAAAAGGAUCCCUGGGGAGGUGGUGGGGGGGGGGGCAAAGGGGGGAGGGGGGGGCGAACCUGGGGGGCUGCACCCCACAUCCAGGCAGCGCCACCACCGCGCUCCCACGUGCGGCUGUGCGGGGCGGCCGGGCGCCUGGCUGUGCCAAACCGGCAGCACCGGGACCGCCCCCCCCUCCCGUAUCCCUGACCCCCCCCUUCCCCCCCGGGCCAUGCUGGGGGGCACGGAGAGGGGCGUGGGGCGCCUGAGGAUCUGCGAACGGACCCAAGUGCUGCUGGUGGAGAUCAACGCGGUGACGUUUUGCAGCCCGAGCGCCGGGAUGGCAGCGGGGUGCCGGCCCGAGUCCCCGUGGGGCUACCAGCGCUUCGCCGGGGAGUACGCGUUCCUGGAGAAGCGCUUCGUGGCGGAGCUGACCCCCCCCCGACCCCGCGUUGUCCCCCAGCCGGACUUCACCUCUCGCCCCCCUCCGGCGCCGCACCACCCCCGGCUUCGCGCCCCCCCCGUAGAACCGCAGUACGGCCCCCCCCGGGAGCGGCACCCGCCGGGUCCCCUGCGCUCCCCGUUAGCGGCGGCCAGGCCGGGCCCCCCCAGCUACGAGACCCACAUGCGGAGAGCGCGGGCGGCCAACCUGCGCCGGGGGGGGGGGCCGCCCCCGUACAUCCCCCCCCCCGCCUACGACGCUCCGCACCGCACCCUGCAGCCCGUCCCCCCCCAGAGGCCGCGCAGCCCCCUCCCCAAACCCCGCGGCCGCGGGUCCGUGCCGGGGGGCUGCAGCCACACGCUGCCCCGAGCCGCCACCGAGGGGGGGGUCCGAUGGCCACGUGGGAUGCAGCCCCCCCCGGGAGUAACGGGACCCCCCCUGCAUUGCCAGACCCUUCCCCGCACCGCAGCCCCCCGGCACAGACCCGUAGGGCGCGGUGGGGGCCGGCGGGGGGCGGGGGGGCACGUCCUCAUCGACGCCACGCGCGUGGUGGUCCGGGCUCAGUACGUCCCCCCCCCGCAGCGCCAUCAGGUGCGUUACGCCGGGGGGGGCUCCGUGCCUCCCACCCCCCCCGGGACCCCCCGCGGAGCCCCCACCUCCCCAUCCGCUCUUUCACCCCCCCGCGGCUCCAAGCAGAGCCCGGGGAAGGGUGGGGGGUCCCGGGGGCGGCCCCCCCCGCGGCGGCCGGCCCUCUACAGCCAGGCGUUGAGGGAUGCGGUGUCCCGAAUCCGACGGCACACGGCGCCCGAUUCCGAUUCCGAUGCCGAGGGGGGGUCCGGGGGGGGGCGGCAGCGGUCGUGCCGCGAUGUCAGCGCCUACAGCAGCAGCAGCAGCAUGGAGAGCCUGGAGGGGCCCCC